ACAAUGGUCGGUACAGAGGGUCGCCAACCCGCGAGGGGGAGCCAAUCCCUUAAAACCGGUCGUAGUCCGGAUUGCAGUCUGCAACUCGACUGCAUGAAGUCGGAAUCGCUAGUAAUCGCGAAUCAGCCAUGUCGCGGUGAAUACGUUCCCGGGUCUUGUACACACCGCCCGUCACACCAUGGAAGUUGACUGCACCAGAAGUAGGUAGCCUAACCGCAAGGAGGGCGCUUACCACGGUGUGCUCAAUGACUGGGGUGAAGUCGUAACAAGGUAACCGUAA
rnacentral:rRNA from 1 species